rnacentral:rRNA from 1 species
GUGCCAGCAGCCGCGGUAAGACAGAGGGUGCAAACGUUGUUCGGAAUUACUGGGCGUAAAGCGCGUGUAGGCUGCUCGGAAAGUCGGAUGUGAAAGCCCUGGGCUCAACCUAGGAAGUGCAUUCGAAACUUCCGAGCUGGAGUGCUGGAGAGGAAGGCGGAAUUCUCGGUGUAGAGGUGAAAUUCGUAGAUAUCGAGAGGAACACCGGUGGCGAAGGCGGCCUUCUGGACAGCUACUGACGCUGAGACGCGAAAGCGUGGGGAGCAAACAGGAUUAGAAACCCCCGUAGUCC